UAAUACAUCUUGAAAAGCAGAGUAACUAUUACUCAAGUUAAUAAAGAGAGCUAACGUUUGGUGAGAGUUAGUUAACGAAGUGUAGUGAACAUGGGCUCGAAAUGAUGACUGCUGGUGAUAUUUAGCUAGUGGCGGAGUUGCAUCCGUUAGAAUUGCAAGCUAUUGGUAGAUAGCUAGUGAGAUUUAUUACGUGAGUAAUAAAUAAAAUAAAGGUGGUAACACGAAGCACUCGUCCUUAUG
rnacentral:ncRNA from 1 species